CAUGAAAAUGACAAACUUAAUCAAUCAUUUGCUUAUAAGCAUGUAUGUAUGACACCACCCUGUUUCAAAUAGCUGAUCUUUGGUACAAAAAUAAAGCCUUAGUACUAAUGUCACCAUAUUCAUAAAAUUUCCUGUGGUGCCUUACUACUAAUGUUUAGUGGCAAAUUCAAUUCCACAAAAAAUCAAAAAAAUCAACAGUCACCUAAAAUGUCUAAACAUGAGUGCAACGUGGACAAUCUCUUCCAAUUUAACUAUGUCACUCUCCCAUUAGAUCUUUAUAUACUAUUUGAUUUAAUCUUCCCUUUAGGUGUAGAGCUUCUUUACCUGAAAGUUAUUCGAUUCACGGUAUACAAAGGAACGUGUAAAUAAAUAGAAAAAACUACAGAUAAAGUGUUUAAUACUAGAUCUUGUUAAGAAUGGAACUAAUCAAGUGAAAGAGAGAAAGAGAUACCUGCAUGCUGCAAUUUGAUUCUUGUAGUAUAGGUAUAUUGAACUAAUCAAGUGAAGGAUAGAAGAAUGGAUUUAAAUUCAAUGACUCCCUAGGGGUUACAAUCAAAGAAAAAUCAUUGGCUCAUAAUCUGCCAAAGCACAAAAUGUAAAACAAAGUUGACAUACAUCUAAAAAAUUGCCAUUGAACUACCAUCAAAAAUAAAACUCACAACAAGAAAAAAAGAAAAAACAGAAAGUCACCUUAAAAGAAAUGUGUCAAAUGAUCAAAAUAUAAAUUUUGAAAUAUAGUGACGCCAUUUAAUGCAAGACCUUAUGAAAGUUGAAUAUCAUGUCCAGUUCACAGACCUGCAAAUUGGCGAGUGACCAUUCAUUUUCAAGAAGAAUAUCAAGUAACCAAACUACUAAAACUUUGUUGAGAAGCCUCUAUGGCUUAAAACAAUUUAAACCAUAAAAAAAACAUUAAUACUUUGAAUGGUAUCAUGCGGUUAGAAUGGAGUCCAACCUGCACCAAAUAGUUUAGACAUCAAUUAUUUGAUAUUAGAAAGUAAUGAAAGCGUGCUUCAAUUGCAAUUAGGACUAAGAAGCGAUAAAAGGAAAACUAGGAUGUCACUCUUAGUUUAUUACUCACAUAUUUUAAGCCAUACCUUUUGGAGCCAUACAGACCUUUAAAGGAAGAGAGAUUGUUACUUGUUAAGGAGUGGAUUCUUGAGACAUUUGCAAACACUUGGUUUUGUUUUAAUCAUAAAUGCACUGCACUUUGGAAUGGUCAUGAACAGGGUAUUGGUGAGGCAUAUCUUCCAGCAAUAUAUUACACUCCUAAGGAUCAGCUAGUUAUUCACAAAAAUUACCUUACUGAUUUGUUUCAUGGCAGUCUUGCCAUUGCUUUUCCCAUCAUGUUGAUGAGGAUAGAUGGUGUGACAUAUGUGG
rnacentral:lncRNA from 1 species